rnacentral:misc_RNA from 1 species
AGCAGCCGCGGUAAUUCCAGCUCCAAUAGCGUAUAUUAAAGUUGUUGCAGUUAAAAGCUCGUAGUUGAAUUUCGGGAUCAGUUGGUCGGUCGUGCCUCGGUACGUACUGGUCAAAUUGAUUCCUACCUUCUGACGAACCACGAUGUCAUUAAUUUGGUGUCGCGGGAAAUCAGGACUGUUACUUUGAAAAAUUAGAGUGUUUAAAGCAGGCUCGCGCUUGAAUACAUUAGCAUGGAAUAAUGAAAUAGGACGUUUGAUUCUAUUUUGUUGGUUUCUAGGAUCGACGUAAUGAUUAAUAGGGAUAGUUGGGGGCAUUAGUAUUCAAUUGUCAGAGGUGAAAUUCUUGGAUUUAUUGAAGACUAACUACUGCGAAAGCAUUUGCCAAGGAUGUUUUCAUUAAUCAAGAACGAAAGUUAGGGAUCGAAGACGAUCAGAUACCGUCGUAGUCUUAACCAUAAACUAUGCCGACUAGGGAUCGGAUGAUGUUAAUUUUUAAUGACUCAUUCGGCGCCUUAAC